rnacentral:rRNA from 1 species
CCUACGGGUGGCAGCAGUGGGGAAUAUUGGACAAUGGGCGAAAGCCUGAUCCAGCCAUGCCGCGUGUGUGAAGAAGGCCUUCGGGUUGUAAAGCACUUUCAGUGGGGAAGAAAGCCUUGGGGCUAAUACCCUCGAGGAAGGACAUCACCCACAGAAGAAGCACCGGCUAACUCCGUGCCAGCAGCCGCGGUAAUACGGAGGGUGCGAGCGUUAAUCGGAAUUACUGGGCGUAAAGCGCGCGUAGGCGGUCUGAUAAGCCGGUUGUGAAAGCCCCGGGCUCAACCUGGGCACGGCAUCCGGAACUGUCAGGCUAGAGUGCAGGAGAGGAAGGUAGAAUUCCCGGUGUAGCGGUGAAAUGCGUAGAGAUCGGGAGGAAUACCAGUGGCGAAGGCGGCCUUCUGGACUGACACUGACGCUGAGGUGCGAAAGCGUGGGUAGCAAACAGGAUUAGAUACCCCAGUAGUC